UACGGGGGGAGCAAGCGUUGUUCGGAUUUACUGGGCGUAAAGGGCGCGUAGGCGGCCACCGCAAGUCGGUUGUGAAAUCUCCGGGCUUAACCCGGAACGGUCAAUCGAUACUGCGGGGCUAGAGUGCAGAAGGGGCAACUGGAAUUCUCGGUGUAGCGGUGAAAUGCGUAGAUAUCGAGAGGAACACCUGCGGCGAAGGCGGGUUGCUGGGCUGACACUGACGCUGAGGCGCGAAAGUGUGGGGAGCGAACAGG
rnacentral:rRNA from 1 species